CAGACGACGCCGCAGCCUCCGCAGGACAGUGAUCGGCAAGCCAACCGGGAACAAAUCCCAUCCGCAUAUUGUUCACCAACGGGUUUUCUUGUGAGGACAUCAUGGCGCAGAGGCAGGGUCCGCUUUGCACGACCACCCGCACGCCCUCGUCGGAAAGUUGAUGUCGACUGGCUCCUUUGCCGAUGACAUCCCAUGGCUGCGACCGCUAAAUAAAUACAGGCAAAACAAACACCAUAGCGACUUUCAAUAAACACCAAAGAAAAACGCGCAAUUGGC
rnacentral:lncRNA from 1 species